UACGAGCCGCCACAAGCAUCAUCGUGCGUGCACACGCGUAUAAAGCCCCCACCCCUCUCUCUUGAACAGACGCGCGCAGACGGACGCGUGUUAAGGGAGAAGAGUUAUUGUGCUGCCGAAGCUCACCGUGCCUGCGUCCCCCCCCCUCCCUAUCCCUUCUUAGUGGCCGAGCGCACAGCUGGUGCGACGGGCCGAGCUGUGCGUUCCUACCUCAUUGGUGGUGGUAGUUACGAUCUCUUGCUUGACCCUCUUGCUUCCCUGUCUUGUGCCUCUCCCACGCUUGCUGCCUUCGCAGUUUGUGUGUGUGUGGGAGGGAGUCAUUAUAAACGCAGUGCCUCCCCUCCCCCCUCUCUCCUGCGUGGCAGCGCCUUCACUUGAGCUAGAGGAAGGCCAAGCAAAAGGAAAAAAGAGCAGUGGAAGCCAGAAAAUCAUUGGCUAGAGCACGCGCGUCCUUGUCGGCUGUGCUGGUGGUGGUGCCGGUCGUCGUCGUCGCGGGUCUUGACAAGCUCCGCGAUUUCCUUUUUUUAUUAUUGUUAUGAUUGAUGUUGUUGCGACGUGUAUCCUGCCUUGCUUUUCCUUGCUUGGUGCGCCCCCGUCGGUGUCCUGCCUGGUAAGUCUGCACUGCUGCUGCUUCGCCUUGUACGUACGCUGGUGUUGUGGUUUGUCGCCUGUCACCCGUGGCAAUCAAAACUUUUCUAGAAAGGGGGAGGGGUACAUAUAUAAAGAAGGCGUGGCAGAUUGGCUCUGCUGUGGUGUGCAUCCGAUUCGCCUUCCCUUUUUCUUUUUCAUUGUUGUUGCUGUUACUCUUUUUUUCUGUUCUCGCUUCUACGGCUGCUGCUGCUGCUUUCUCUCCAAGCUGACCAUCUUGUUCUCCUACAUCGCUUCGGGAGGCGCCUGCCGGCCGGCCGGCCUGCCUGCCCUCCUCUCCGACUCGGUGCUGUGAUUUGUUUUUUUUCUUUUCUCUGUCAGUGCUGUGUUGAGGUCUAGAAACUCUCCUCUCCUCCCCUCCCCCUCAACACUCUACCUCAACACGCACGUGUGCACGCAACCUGUGAGUGCGCGGCAUGCCUUCCAACCGACGCAAGAAUAAGCAGCGGUGUAUGCAGGCGUCUCAGGUGGCCUUGCCAGGAGAUCUACCAGAAGCCAGCAAGAUCAGCGGUGGCAGCGGCAGCACCAACGGCGGAAGUGUUGUAUCCAAUGAGCUCGCGGUGUCGCACAAGACAUGCGGGCGGGAGGGGGCAGCGACUAGCGCUGCCUCCUCGCCGAAGCAAAUGAAGCGCACCGCGUCAUCGCUCGCCGGAGGAGAUGCCGACGAGGACAUGACCAACAGCGGCGGCGGCGUCAACGCCAACGGGGUGACGAGCGCCUCGCCUGCGCCUUCGCAUUCCUCCGCGUCGUCGUCCAGCGAAUCAGAUGCGUCUCCAGCAGCGGGUCUUCUGACGGUGACGGGCAUGGCUACUCCAGCGACAGCGACGGAAAAGGACCUGGCGGCUUGCACGUCGAGCGACGGAGCAGGGCUGUUGCUCCUUGACGACGGCGACGAGGACGCAGAGCGCGACGACGCGGUCCUCGCCGAGGCCGUCGCCGCGGCUGCGGCACCUGCUACCGACAACGCGGGGGAGCUUUUCUACGUCGAACUCGACCCCGAAUCGCACGUUAUGACCGGUGUUCUGCCUGAGAUGCAGCGACUGCAUGUGCGGCUGACGCAGCUGGUGCGCGUUCUGCGGCGCCGCGUCGCGCGCCUGUGUGUGCUGCGCGAGCGUGCUCGGCUGAGCGGGGAUGAUGUCAGUGAGGUGGUACCGGCGUCCCCACUUCUACCGAGGCGCCCGUCUCCACUGGCAACCGCUUCUCCCGUGCCAUCCGGUGUGCAUCGCCACAGGGACACCGUGGCCAGCAACGGCAGUAGCAGCAUUCACGGCGGCGUCGCAGCGGCUUCCCUGACCAACGCGGAAGGCACCACCGGCGACGUGGAUGCGAUCGGGACGAGCGCAGACGGCCAUCAGUCACAGCGGCAGACAAACCCAAUGCACGAGCCAGGUGGCGUCAUGCCAUCACCGCGCAACGGCAUCAGCAGCCGACUCGCAAGCGCGCGGCGCUACACGCAGCAGCAGAUCCUCGACAACGACUCGGAAUGGUGCGACGCAGGAACCUUUCGCUCCUCGCGCUCCACCACGGCCCAGAGCACACCAUCCCUGCAGCCGUGCUUGCCGCCGCCGUCGCUGCAGUUCUUUGAGGAAGACGAGCUGGAUGACGACGGACGGGCUAGCCUGCUCACAUGCAGCUCCAUGGCAGCUCGACGAUCGUACACGGCGCGCUUUCGGCCCGAGUCAACGCCGCCUUCGGUGCAGACGACGCCGAACAUGCUUCCCGCCUACUCGGCCCCCUACGCCCGCAGCGACAACGGGGGGAUGCUGUCGCUGCCGCCGUCAACCUCAGCGGUUGGUCGCAUGUCGCUCCAACAGCAGCAGCAGCUCACGUCGUCCGCGAAGCCUUUCUCGGGGGCGCGGACCGCGUGCGGCUCGGCCACGUCGCCGCUAGAAGGAUCCGCGCUGCCGCCGACCCUCACACCAGCCGCGCCUGAAUCGGGGCUCUCUUUGUCGAAAGCCACGCCACCAACCGUCGUGGACGACACGCAGCAGCAGGAGACACGGGCAGCCCUUUCCGCUGGCGCGCCGCAGCCGCUCGCCCUCACGGACGAGGAGAAGAAGGAGCUGCGUCGACUGAGUCGGCGCGUCGCGGAGCUGUACAGCCGGCGCGGCCUCCUGCUGCAGCAGGCAGACCGACUUCUCUGCCGCCACGCUCAGCAGCACGAGCGGUGGGAAGGCAACGAGGAGCGCCGCGGGUGCUACCGCUGCCGGCGACUCUUUUCGUACCUCACCCGCCGCCACCACUGCCGCCGCUGCGGUCGCCUGUGCUGCGCCGAGUGCAGCCGGUAUGUUGGCAAGAAGCAGGACACGUCCUACGUGGCGGCGCCGCAGGAUACGGGGCGCGCCUCCGUCGGUGUGGAGCACCGGGUGAUCAUCAAGUCCGAGUACACCGCCCACAUCACCGCCGAAGACACGCAUGAGCUGGUGGAGGAACGUUUCGACGAGCACACAUACCCGCGUCGCGGCUACGGCGGCGCAGGCGACUCGCCCAACUUGCAGCCGGAGAAAGAGGCGGAGGUACAGGACACUGUCCUGGUGCUGGACGACGAUGGGCAGCUGCGCGACCCGUCCUUGGAGCACACCGAGGACGCGGCCGACAAACUUCACGGCCGCUCGAGGCAGCACAAGUGGGUCCGCGUCUGCGCACCGUGCUACCAAAACUGCCUCCGCGCGCGACGCAACAACGUGCUGCAGCACCUGAAGAGCGCCAACCUGUGCAUCCUCGAUGACGGCUUCUACUACUACCACGUGAUGACCACCGAGGAGCUGUGCCGGCUUUCUACCGCCCUGAACAAGCCAGACUCUUUUAAGAAGCAGGUGGAGCUGAUGUCGCAUGUUGUGGUGGAGCGCUCCGCCGACUACGUUGCGGCGGCGCCAGGGUACAGCGCCCACACCCUCACUGCAGCGGCGCAGCACACACCCGACGUCCUGCGGACGCUUGGCAGCAUCAGUGCCUACGCCUUCCGCUCUGCACGGCAGACAGCCAACGACUACGUUGGUGGCUACUUCGCUGGGAGUCGGACCAUACUGCCUGACAACCACAUGGACACAGCGGCGACAGCGCACUCCCUCUCAGCCGGCAACGAGGCAGAUGGCGGCGGCAGAGACGACGACAACGAUGAGGCGCGCAGCGAGGUAUCGCUGAUGUCCGUAGAUGACGCGUGUAGUGAUAUGCAGGCUCCGCUCAAGGGCGGCACGGAAGACAAUGCAUACGAGCACGAGGAUAGGCCGGACAAGAACACGGACGAGGAUGCUCGGACGGAGGACCCCUGUGACGACGGCCCCAUCGAUGUACAAACAUAGCCGACAACAACAAAAAAGCAAAAGAAGAAAAACGCAGCAGCGGGACUGCCGCCACGCCCAUCUCGCUGAGGCGUGGCGAAGAAACAGAGACGAUAAAAAAAAAGAGUUGAAAUCCAUAAAUCAUACAAGAAAAAAAAAUGAGUAUGUGCGUAACGUUAGUGAAGUUGACAGAAGCGUUCCUAUUAUUUCCUUUUCAUCUGUGUCUGCGCUUCACACUCCACCUCCCUCCCCCUCUCUCCCGCUUUUCCUCUUCCUACACCUUCCUUUCCCCCCUGCGCCCCGGUGUGUGUGUGUGCCCCUUGCUUGAUUGUUUUUUCGUGUGUGCGAGUGAGUGUGUGUGUGUGUGUGUGUGUGCCGUUCAGUCUUUCUGUUUGGUUCUUUACCUACUGCUUCUUUUUUGUUGCGAGCACCCUUGCUUUGGUUUGUGGUGCUUGCACUGUUGCUGAUCCAUUAGCUCUUCCUUGCUGCUCGUUGAAUGCUUCUACUCCUUGCCCAUUUCCAUGCGUGUCCUGAACGCGUACCUUUUCUUAUUUGACAUCCUCUGCUGGUGCUACUUAGCACGCGUGCUGCUCGUCUCCUGGUGUGAAUGUAUGCAGGGCCCUGAAGGCUUGACGGGCGUGACGCGCACGCAUAUGUGCGUCCUCCUCUCUUCGUCAAUCCGCUUAGGUGUUUGCGUGUUGCACUUGUCUGUUUGUUGUUUGUACACGUAUGCUUGAGUGUUGGUGGUCGGUGCUGUUGUUUACUUGCUCUUUUCCACCAUUCCUCUCCGCCUGCCUCUCACUCGCGGGUGUGCUGUACUGCCCCGCGUUACAUAGCGAUGGCGUACGGGUACGAAUCACACCCGCCUCAUGGCGUUAAGAUUCGUUGCCUCCUGUUCCUACGUAUCUCAGCCACCGAACUCUGGAGAACACGAAGCACCGAA
rnacentral:misc_RNA from 1 species